CUUGUGAAGAAAGAAGAGAAGUAAGAAGGCAAAAUCACAAAGUGCAGAUGAGAGGAGGGGAACAAAAUCCCUAGGCGCUGGAGGGAUCCGAUUGGGCCUGGCAACACCUCUCCUUCCCUCAUCUCCUUCUCCACCUCCGGCCGCCGCCACGGGCAGGCCGGCGUGGUUGCGCGCCAGCAGCCUCCAUCCACUACACCACCAGUACCCUGUACCACCAUCACCUCCAUCCACGAGCACCACACCACCCAUCCACCUCUCCCUGCUGCUCCCCCUUGCUAAUCACGCCCUGGACCAGCCAUUGGGGUCGCCGGCGUCUGACCCCCCGCGCGACCAGCACCUCAUCUCCCUCUCUGCUCCUUCUCCCUCCUUCCGCUGCUUGCUGCUUCUUCUUCUUGCGCCCAUCUGCCCCUGCUCCUUCUUCCCUAGCCUCGCUGCUGCUCUUCCUUCUCCAAAUCCCCAAAUUGCUGAUCCUCCCUCUUGCUUCAUCCUGCCGCUUCUCUUCUUCCCCUCGACCUCCUGCUGCUACUACUCCCUCUCUCCAUUGCCUUGCUGCUUCUCUGACUCUCCCUCACCUGCUGUUGCGCCUUCUCUUCUUCCCUCGCCUCAAACUGCUGCUCUCUCUUAUCCCCUGCGCCUCCAGACUGCUGCUACUACUCCUUUCCCCUACUGCCUCUUCUUCCCAAACCUUGAUGCUGCUUCUUCUCCGAACCUACUGCUGCUCCUCUCCAGCGCUCCCUUGCUGCUCCUCAUUCGCUGAAGCUCUGCUCUGAACCUCCUCCUUCUGCUGCCCCUUGUGUGUGUGUGUGUGUAAUUCAUAAAAAACAUAUUGUUGUGUUCUGUGAACAAUUUGUGUUGAGACUUGUUCAAUUGCAAACUGUUUUGUGCUAGAUUUAUAUGUGACUGUCAGUUCGUGGGUUGUAUAAAUUCAGAUUACUACAUGUGAUUUUAUUUUGUACUGAGGCUGCUCUUUGUGAAGUCAGAGGUGUGAUUGUUUUUAAUCUCAAGUUCAAUGUGCUAGCUAUGUACCAGUGACAUAUGUGACAUGUAUCUGUGAUGUGAAAUAAUUGUAUUCUAUCCCUAAUCUUGUUCCUUCCGUGUGUCCUAUACUUGCUAGUUUUAUAUACAUAUAUGUGUCCUUAUCAUAUUAUUUCCCUUUGUGUUAGUGUUUUAGAUUCUCAAGUAUAAUGAAAAUACCAAAAAGAUAUUGAGUAAAAUCUGAAUCUCCCUUUUGCUUAUUUUCAUUUUCUUUGUCGUCGACUUUGGUUAGUUUAGGUCUAUAUUUCCUCGCAAUCAUCAUCUGAAUUCUGUCACCUAGCUUUAGCCGAGCAUCGUUGCCGUCGCCUAGUCCCUGUGGAGAACACGACACUCAUAGAAUGGGGCGUUAAAACCCCACUGUACCUACAAUCGAUUAGGGGCCGACAUUGUGAGGUGGUGCUUUUGGGUAAUUUCUCCUUUAUAGAAUUAAAAAUCAACAGUACCUAGUGAUUGUACUAAUCAGUGUUGUCUCGUUCGAUUGCAGACCUUUUGAGGAACAUGACGUGGACGCGGCUAUGGUUCUCGAAGUCGAGUGGAAGCACCUACUUCAGAACUUAUGGCACGUGGCUAGGGUGCAGGCUGUUCGAGACUACUAUGCCUCGACUAACAUUGGGAGGACCAAGAAGAAGCGACGCACCAAGUAUCUGAGUAAGGAGAAGUACAUGAAGGCGCCCCCGAGUUCGUGUGCAGAUAGGAUGGACCGUUGGGACGCGUUGGUGGAUGAGUGGUGCUCUCGCCAAUGGCCAGCCGUCCACAAUAAGGCCAGGGAUAAGCGUGCCCAAAUGCAAGGUGUGCCACACCAUCGAGGGAGCUCCAUCAUGUUUGAGUACGGGGAUCACUAGGCGAAACACAACAAGAACGACGUGCCACCGCUAUAUGACAGCUAUGCCAUGGCCCAUACUGCCCCGUACAAGAAGGCCAAGGCAUUCUCUGAGGAUGACCUCGAUCAUCCAUAGAGCUUCACCAAUAUCUCCUCCCACAACAAGCUCGUGAGGUAUAGAGACGUUGAGAAGACGAGGAAAGGGGAGGACUUCAACCCGAGCCUGAUUCCUUUUGAUCAAGAGAUCGUGAUGCUAUCUGGUGACGGGAGGUACCAUGGCUCGGUAGCCAUUGGGGAUGGACUCAUACGUUAUCCUAGAACUCUCCGAGAGAUCAAGAAGCACGAGACAAGCUCCGAUCCUGAUAUACCGCCUCACCCACGGCCAAUGGAGCUCGCCAUCGAGGCUAUGGCCCAGGAGCUUUUGGCGGAGGCAAACAAGCAGGCUAAGCAGAGGGAGAUGGGGUUGGAGGAGAGGAUGGUAGUCUGUUGGAGGCGGAGAGGAACCAGAAUGACGCGUCUCACCGGGCCCUAUACGAGCUCGUCGUGGUAAGUUUCUUUUGCAUAUUAGCUGUGAUGCCCCCAA